rnacentral:rRNA from 1 species
GCUCAGAUUGAACGCUGGCGGCAGGCCUAACACAUGCAAGUCGAGCGGUAGAGAGAAGCUUGCUUCUCUUGAGAGCGGCGGACGGGUGAGUAAAGCCUAGGAAUCUGCCUGGUAGUGGGGGAUAACGUUCGGAAACGGACGCUAAUACCGCAUACGUCCUACGGGAGAAAGCAGGGGACCUUCGGGCCUUGCGCUAUCAGAUGAGCCUAGGUCGGAUUAGCUAGUUGGUGAGGUAAUGGCUCACCAAGGCGACGAUCCGUAACUGGUCUGAGAGGAUGAUCAGUCACACUGGAACUGAGACACGGUCCAGACUCCUACGGGAGGCAGCAGUGGGGAAUAUUGGACAAUGGGCGAAAGCCUGAUCCAGCCAUGCCGCGUGUGUGAAGAAGGUCUUCGGAUUGUAAAGCACUUUAAGUUGGGAGGAAGGGCAGUUACCUAAUACGUGAUUGUUUGACGUACCGAC